rnacentral:rRNA from 1 species
AUGCACGCUGGCGGCGUGCCUAAUACAUGCAAGUCGAGCGAACAGAUGAGGAGCUUGCUCCUCUGACGUUAGCGGCGGACGGGUGAGUAACACGUGGAUAACCUACCUAUAAGACUGGGAUAACUUCGGGAAACCGGAGCUAAUACCGGAUAAUAUAUUGAACCGCAUGGUUCAAUAGUGAAAGACGGUUUUGCUGUCACUUAUAGAUGGAUCCGCGCCGCAUUAGCUAGUUGGUAAGGUAACGGCUUACCAAGGCGACGAUGCGUAGCCGGCCUGAGAGGUGGCCCGCCCAAACGGGAACGGAGACCCGGCCCAGACUCCUAGGGGGGGCAGAAGUAGGGAAUCUUCCGCAAGGGGCGAAAGUUUGACGGACCACCGCCGGGGGAGUGAUGAAGGUCUUGGGAUCGUAAAACUCUUUUAUUAGGGAAAAAAAAAUGUGUAAGUACCUAUGCCCGUCUUGACGGUACCUAAUAAGAAAGCCACGGCUAACUACGUC